GCAAACUCUGCAAUAUUGGGAGGAUCUUGAAGUUUUUCAAAACGAGCAUAGAUUUGGGGCCAAGACGCGUCAUGUGACAUGUCAUCACAACGCACAUUCAGUCAACGCCCUCUUUGAUUCACAUGUAUUGAACACGUGUACAGCUUAAAGGUCUCAUUCCCAAGAAACAUCACUGCGAAAGACACAACAAUUUCAUGCAAUUGUGAUUUUGCCAAUUCGAGUUGUUUUCCACUAAAAAUACGACGUCGAUACGAUGGCACGGAGGGUAGUGUUGCCGACUCACAGCUCCAGGAUUUCCAGUUUGAUCUUGAGCUUCGGUUACCACACACAGAUGGUUUUGGCUCCUUAAAUUUGCCCCGUAUGUGAUGAUGUGUGUGUGUGUGUGUGCGCGUGCGUGCGCGAUGGACUGGCAUCCGAUCAAGAAUAGGAAUGCUAUAUUGGCACAUUAAAGAGACGAAAACAUCCAGAAUGUGGCGCUGUUGCACUGUUCCUCCAUUCUGUCUCCAUUCGACAGUGUGCCUGAUUAAUUUGUUGUUCAGCUGUCUUGAGUUUAAUCUACUUUUUAUUAGGGAAAGAUAUUUGUUCUGCACUUCCAGUGCUGGAAAGCUUUCCUUUACUAUGUGCACCCUUCUUUGCAUAUAAUUAUCAGAAUCUUUGUAGGUUGAACUUGAUGCAUAUGCAAAUGUCCAGCAGAGUAGGCCUUUUUUUUUUAUGUUCCAAUUUUUGCUUUUGGGAUCUCACGUCAAGCGUGUAUAGAGCUGUACGUGCUGUGGCUGUGUGUUGUGACGGUCCUUUAUCCAGAUCACUGGUUCCCACUUUCAUGUGUAAACACACAGGUUGUACAGAGAACAUUGUGUGUCCAUGGUAAAUAACACUGGCCAUUUCUAAAGUGCCUGGCACAGAAACACAAAACAGCAGAUUAUCACAUGAUCCUAAGAUGGAAGCAAAUCAAAUGACACACACAGCCAGCUUUAAUUAAGAGUGAUCAUUUUGUUCUGUCUUUUUAUUUUUUUUUGUUUGUUUUUUGUUAUUGGGGCUGACUUGUUCAAGUGCACACUUCAUGAAUCUGUCACUCCAAAUAUAAAGAGAUCAAGCACUGAUACUUUUUCAGCACUAUUGGAGGUGUAAAUAAACUGUAAAGUGACAUGGGUCAUGGAUGUAAUCAUUGGAGGUGGUCGUUGUGGCUAAAAGUGAUCACAAUGUAUCACAAAAUUUAAACUAACUGCAUAUCCAGGUCAGGGUCAUGGUGCAUCCGGAGCCUAUCCCGUGAACACAACCUGGAUGGGAUGCAACUCCAAGUGAUGUAGAAAUGAAAAUACCCAUAAUAUUUAUUAUUUAUUAUUAUUCACGUCAAAUGAUGGAAUUUAUCUAACGCUUUUGAAUUCUACAUGAUGAGGUAUGCGAGCAGCAGUAUAUACAAAUUUUUGUGUGUGUGUGGCUGAGCAUUAAUGAGGCCUGUUCUGGUGCAAUGAAUUGGAAAAUGGGUAUCAGAUGCUGAGUAAUGAUGGUGGGCCAACGAUAGGAAGUGUGACACGUCCUUACAGCCGGUCUUCAAGUGUGACACUUCCAGUGUUGGUCUGAUCCCAACCAACAGCCUUUAUUCCCAAUUCACACUGCUAACAUGGGUAUUAAGUUAAAUAAUGAAAGUACCUGAAAUAGGAACGUGGGAGUGAAAGGGAGUGCAAGAUAAAUUGAAAAUUUUAUCUCGUACUCCAAGCAACUGGACCUGAGGAGAAGAUGGAUUUUUCAACAAGACAGUGAUCCCAAACAUAUAAAGCCAAAAUAACUAAAGAAGGCCUUGUAUGGUCUAGCCAAUAUCCUGACUUGAAUCUUGUUGAAAAUGUAUCAAGGAUUUUGAAACUGCGAGUCCAUCAGAGGAAACUUUGUUAAAUGGGGAAUUGAAGAUGAUUUGCCAAGAGUAAUGGCCAAAACUGAACCACAAUGCUGCAAAAACCUAAUUACUCGAUACAGUUUUAACUGAAGUUGUAGCUCUAAUUGCCAUCAGCUUUGCAACAAUGUACUGAUGUUAUUUUGUGGUGUCGGAAUUCUUUCCCCUUAUCAGUUUCAUUUUUAAA
ensembl:lncRNA